rnacentral:lncRNA from 1 species
ACAGAGAGCUACAAUAAUGAAGAGGAAUCAACGAAGAAACAAGAAGGAAUUGAAGAACCUAGCUACCUAUAUAUUUCAUCGUUGACUUGACUUCACUUGCUUCUCUAUUUAACCCUUAGCAAGCUAUAAGGAAUCACACGCCACUAACACACACACAUACAACAACACUACAAGCAUCAUCAACCACUAACUUCCUCUCCAACUUUCAAUGUUCCUUUAAUCAAACAUUAUCUCUUCAUAAGCUUUAGAGCAGAAAUUCAUUCGCACUUCUUUUCUUUGCCAUUUCAUAAAAAGAUUGCGCGAUGACGGAAUCAUUAGUUUCUUUGUUGACGAGGAAAACUUCUUCAAGCAAUUGAGGAAUCUUCCAUUUCAUUGGUCAUCUUCGAGAUGGUGUAUGGAGAAGCUUGUGAUGAUUAUUGAAUGCAAGGAACAAAUUUUUCUGAUUGGUAAUGAUUUUGAUAAAUUACAUUGCCUAACUGGUGAAAAACAUUUCUUUUUUAUUUGAUCUUCAAUUUUUAAAUGACUUGAAUUUAGACAAUAAUAAAUUUAACAUUAUCCAAUAUCAUAUUAGUGUGGAAAUUCUUUUAAUAACAUUUACCAUUUUGAUUUGUCUAAUAAUGACAAUCUUAGGAGGAUUUUUAAUAUACUCUAUUGAAAAUUCUCCUAAUAUUGUCAUUAUAUGACAAAUCAAGAUGGUAAAUGUUAUUAGAAGAAUUUUUACAUUGAUCAUGAUAUUGAAUGACGUUGAAGUUAUUGUUGCCCAAAUUUAAGUAACUUAAAAAUUAAAGAACAAACAAAAAGGACAUGUUGAGGAUUUAUCAAGAUCAUUAUUAAUUAGAAAAAUUUUUUAGGACCCCUUUUAAAUUUUAAUUAUCUUAAAUUAGUUAAAUGUAUCAUUAUUUUAUAUGUUAAAAAUAUAAAAACAGACUUAUUAUGUAUGUGUGUAAAAGUAUAAUUUAAUAAUUUAUCCUCUAAUUUUUUAGGAUACCGAAACAUACAGUUAUCGCGAUUUUUUGUUGGUAUAUAUAUGUAUAAUAAUUAUCAUCUUUUAAUAUGAUAUAUGCAUAAUAAUAAAAAUUUAUAUAUUAAUUAUUUUUAUAUUUUGUUAAAAAAUAUUAUCAGGAAAGAGUAACUCUGGAUAUAAAUAUAAAUGAAAUUGAGGUGAGCUUAUGGGAUAGGGUUUAUUUUUUAGAAAUGGGAUAUUUUGAUGGCUCAUAAUUCGAUAUGUUAAAAGGAAAGUGUUUUCAUAUGGCUAAGUUAAUCAAACCAAAAACUUAUGGGAUAGGGUUUAUUUUGUUAAAAAAACACAAUCUUUUUACUUAGUUUUUGUUAUAUAUCAAAACUAAUGAUUCCGAAAAAUUAUUUUCGUUUUUUGAAGGUUUAGAAAUAUUAUAAAUUUGUUUGAAUAUAUUAAAUUAUUUUUACUAUAUAAUUCAGUUUUGAUCAUAACAAGAAUAGAAUUAAUGUACUUAAUUUAGUUUUCAUAUAUAACAAGAACUAAAUAAAAAAAGGAUUGUUUUUAGUUUAGUUUUUAAUGUAAUUAAUUUAUUAACAUAUUUUAUUGUGAUGUUUAUAAAUUGUAUCGCAAAUUUUCUCUGGUUUAACUUAUUUUUUAUUUUAUAAAUUUAAUGGAAGUAAAAGUUAAAUUAAAGUGGAUAGAUUGUUAUUUUUUAUUUCCAGAAUGCUAGCAAAUUAUGUUAUAUCUCAUGUAGAAAAGCAUAUAUGUUAAAAUAGAAAUAGACUAAAUUAAUUCGUUGUUGUUCAUGCUAAGAAGAAAAUGAGAUUGAAAUGAGGACAAACACAACACUGGAGAAUUCGAUUACAAUAAGCAUGGAUAAUUUAAUUUUGUCAGACAGUGAUUUUUCUUUUUUUUUCCACAAAUAUAGAAAUAUAGUCACUGACUAAUUGUUAGUGAAAGAAAAUAAGGUGACUUCAUGUUUUAAAAAUUGUAAAAAUUUUGUCAUAAGAGAAUAUUAUUUCUCAGCUUAACUUAUUAUUAAAUGAAAUAAACAUUAUUUCAUUUAUUUGAUUGUCUGUUUUAAUACAAAGUUUCAUAAUUUUAUUUUUAAUAGUAGAGAUCGAUAAUGAUAAAACUCACUUUAUUUACUUGUCACACGUUUAAAAUAGAGAGAUAAUGAGAUAUAAACUUAUAUAUCAAAAGUUUAUUUUAUAAAAUAAAAAAUGUCUAUUUAUCUUUUGAACUUCAUAUCAAAAGUUAUAUAUAAAAGUAUGAAAAAAAAUCCUUAAAAAUUAUAAAAUAUUACAUAACAAUGAUCAUAUUGUAAAGUCAUAUUAUACAGUAUAUAGAUGAAUUUAUAAAAAUAAAAAAGCAGACGAAAAAUGACUUGAACAUAACAUUAAUUUUGUAAUAUGUUCUCCUUAUAAAUAAUAUCUCAAGUUAAGUGACCAGAAAUUUUUAUAACAUCAACUUAUUGUAAAAAUAGUAUAAAUUUAAGGUAAUUUAAUUAACUUUGCGUGUAGAAAAGAUCAAGCAAUUAUCACAAGAAGGGUAUAAAUAACACAUGCAAUGUACUAACAGUUUUGAUGUGAAUUAUAUAAGGAGACGAAAAUGAGUGAAAAAUAACUUAAUAACGAGGAUAAUGCACAGAAUCAUAAGGCAACACAAAAGCAGCAUGUUUAUCUACAAUUUUGAUGUGACCCCACAUUUUAUUUUGGUCUGUUUUGCCCUCAAACCCACCACAAAGCUAAGCUGGAAAUGAAAGAAAGCCAAAACACACAAGAAGAGGGUCUCAUAUAUACACAGCAUAUGGGAUAACUGGGAAGAAGAUAGAAACUAAUUUUCUUACACUAAUUUUUCACACACCCACAAAAAAAAAAAUUUAAUAAUUCAACAUGUUCAAUAUAAUUAAUUAAGCCUACAGAAGAGGGAUAAGUAAUGUUUAAACUUUAAAAUAUGGUGUUUUUUUUUAACGAAUUAAGAGAUACGUAGAAACUGAAUUUAAAAAUGUCUAUGCAUCUCUUUUUUAUUAGUCAUUUUAUGUCAAUGUGUCUUAUAAAAAAAAUUAACCAAAUAAAAAAUUAAAACUUUUAAAAAAUUUUAACAUAUUUUUUUUUUCAAACGUAUUUUUCAAACACACCCUGAAUUAUAGCACCACUAUAUAUAAGCAUAUUUUUCUGUGGGAAUACGACUGUGACUUAUUAUAAUUGCAUCAAACCACAUACAAACAAUGAGUCAAUGAGUCAUGACAUUGGUUAAUUGACUUAAUUCCCUUGCUAUUUGCUAAUGGAGGGUAUUAUGGAGGCAAUUAGUAACUAAUAAAUGAAUGCAAACAGCACAAAGAGGGAUACUUUUAGUGGUGACUUAUUGUUGUUUGAGAGUGGAGGCUUUCUUUGUGACUUAUUUAAAAAAAUUGAUAGAAAAUAAUGGUAAGUUCUUAGUUUUGUUUGUAAUCAAAAUUAUGUAUGUUAUAUUUUGUAAAAAAUAAAAAGUUAUUUUAGUAGCAAUUUUGAAUAUUAAUAAAAAAUUGAGUAAAUUAAAUUUUCUUUUGACAUAACUCUUUUAUAAAGCUCUUUGUAUUUCUUAUAAAAUAUUUUCUGUCAAGUUCGUUCUUUCAUAUUUUUCAUGCUUUCACAAGUGAAUGAAUAAUGAUGGUUAUUUUCUUGAAGCAUAAUGGAAAAAUGAACACAACCUUUAUGUUCCAAGACCAAGAGUCAACUCUAAGUCUUUGAGGAAGUUUCUAUGAGUUUGUAAUUAUUGGUGGAGUAAUAAAUACGUGUUGGAAAAAGAUAAUUAUUUUUCUUCCAAUUAAAAUUAUUAAUUAAUUUUUUUCAUGAUUUUUUAUUUUUUUUGGUUAAAUUAUGAUUACGAUAGCUCUGUAAUCUAGAACGAUGAAUAAUUUCGGAUUAUGAUAUCAGGUUUUUUGUUUCAAGAACUUGCUUAAAGUGUUUCAUCAAAAUAAAGAGGUCCCUGUCCAUGAUACAGAAUUUUUAGUUUUUCAAACUUUUUUCUAAUGUCCCAUCCUUUUUUUUUCAUUUCAUAAUUGACUGGCUUUUGUUCAUCCUUUAUUUUUACUUAUCAAGGUUUGAGAUUUAAGUAAACUGAAAACACAAUUUCUAGAAAAAUGAUAUUUUCUAUUUAUAUUUUUUUAUGUAAUUAUAUGAUUGUAGCUUUCAAAUGCAAAUUUGACAUCUUCUUUAGCCUCCAAUUUUUACUGGUGAGAUUUAAUUAUAGUGAAUGCAUGAUUGUUGAGUUGCUAUAAAUAUGAACAAAGUGAGUGACUUUUAUUGAUAAUUAAAAGUAAUACACCUUAGCAUACAUGUAUCUAUUUCUUUUAUCGUGGUGGUUGUUCACUGUGAUUGGAUUGGACAAUUGGGGUUGGAAGUAUAGUUAUUGAAGUUUUGGGGAUAAUUUAAGAAUGAUGAGACGAGUAUGGAUCUGAAUUUUUUAUUUUAGUUUGGCAAUUUUACUGUUCAAACAUCUAAAGGUUAGUUUCAUUGGUAUAGCAUUAAAAAAAAGAUGAAGACAAUUUGAAAUCAAAUUCUUUGAAUUAAUGGCUUGAGAUCAUGCAUAGAAUAUGCAUCACUGGAUAUAAUUCUAUUUGCAAGUCUCUUGACAUUUUCAAUGAUUAGUUCUCAAUUUUGCAGAAUCAUCAUGCAUUCAAGAAACUGGUAAAAAUCUACAACUGAGGAUUUGUAUCAUCUCAACCCGUCAAUAUAAUAAUACAUUCAGCCAGUAGCACUCUGCAGCUUUUCAGGAGGUGGCAAAGAAGUAUGUAGAGGAUAGAGUUGCUGUCUAUCAAUUUUAUGUUCAAGAUCACAUUAUUAUAGCUUAGGAGAUAGGUGUAUAGCCUUAAAGAGUUGCUUACUGGUUAUUGAAUCUCAUUUUCUUAGGUUCUCAUCUCGUUGGUGAUUCCUUUGUAUUUUAGUAUAUAAGAUUUUGGGUUUGGCUUUGUAUAGAAGUUAUAGGGAUUACUCAAAUGUCUUCCAUGUCUGCUUCUAUUCUAGCUUUCUAUUGGCUUUCCUUGGAGAGACUAGAAAGUUAGAAUUUUUUAUAUGCUUUUGCAGGGUCUUCCAUAUAAUUUAAUUUCAUGACUGGUUUUAAUUUUCAAUAGAAGCAUAUUGUUGAUUUCACUUUAAUAGUAAUAUUAGUUUGCUAUCAGUUGGG